rnacentral:lncRNA from 1 species
UCAAAUUCUGCAAUUGUCUGUAGAAAAAAGCAAACAACACAAAGCAGUUGCAGAUUACUCUGCAUCAUUUAAUUCUUUUACACAAAUAACUUGAGCAGCUCUUUUGAUUCCUCAAUUCACUAAACACAUAAAAAUUACUAGUGAGAAAAAAAAUCAUGUUAGACUACACUGGAAAAUGAACCAAACUGCAUUGCUGCCAACAUCUUCACUUUCUAAUCACUAACUCUCUAAACUCACUAAAUAUAUUGAGAAAAAAAACAUAUCAUGAUCAUUUGCACGCCCAAAAAGAUAGCCAGACCAAGUCUCAACAUGACACCACCCAUCAAUAAACACCAAUUUCCUUUUUUACUCUCCAUUUCCUUCCCAAUAACAUUCUGCUUCACUUGUUUUCGACUGAUCCCGUCCUCCUUUAUCUAAAACAAACUAGUAAAAUAACCUGCAAAAAACAAAACAAUUGGUUAUGAUAACAAAUCCUUUCCUCAUAUUAACGGUGUUUCUCACAUCAAAGGUGUUUCCCAUUAAGCCUCUCACAUCAGGUAGGGGGUCCCCUAGAAAUGCAGCAAAAAUAGUCCCAUGACAUCAGAUUCAUAGAACCACAUUAAGGGAUUCCUUAUAACCAGACCAGCAAAUCCUUCUCCCCCAUUCAUCCCAACUCAUCUGCAAAGCCAUUUUUUCCCUAUUUAUAUUCUUUUUUUUUUUAAUGUUAUUAUAGAAAAUAGAGGCAUCAUUACAAAUAGUGCCAAAAUGAUCCUAACCAUGCUACUACUAAUCAAAAUCUUGGAUCAAAUACCAGGAAAGCGAAGAUUGAAGAUGGAAAUAUAUAGAAAUGAUUAAUGCUUCUAUAACAAGUGACUCUCUCUACAUGGUUCUCUGAUGUUAUAAGUAAUAUAUAACUCUAAGAGUUGAAGUUCAAUCAAUCGUCAGACAUUUAUGUUGUCUCCUUGUAAUACCUUUUUUCACUUGCCACCUCUUUCUCAUUUUGCUUCUGCAGAAGAAACAGCACUGGCCUAGAUACUAGUAAAUAACAGAGGUCACAGCUGAAAAAGGCCCCAAACUAGUGAACCAUUGCAUUAUAUCAAAAUUGGUCAUACACCAACUUUAUCUAUGUUUAAUAUAUAGAAGGCACAGAAGUUCGAUAACUUAAAAUAGCAUGUGGGAUGUAUGCAAGCCUGGUAUGCUUCACAAUUUGAUAACUAUUCACCUUAUUAUAUAGUGGAAGUUGCAAUAUCCAUUGGGCUUUCUAGAACUUUGAAGAUAUCCAUACCGAGGGGAACAGAAUAUGCAUUGUCUACUCUCCUAUAUAAAUAUUUCAGAGACUAGAAAUGAAAAAAAAAUAUCUCAUUAUCUUGAUGAUCCAUCAGGAAAAAAUGUGAUUUACAAGUAUCAAUCUAUCUUCUAUUACCUUCUAAAAGUUGUUAUACUGACCCAUGGACAACCAAUGAAAUGUUCAAAGAUGUAAUCUGCAGUAGCAACAAAAUUUUAUGAAUUACAAGCACAUCUUCUUCAUCCAUGUCUUUAGCCAAAUUGCUUACUCUUUGACCCAACUAAAGAAAAACAUAGUAACUCAGACAACCAAGGGAGGGGGGCCAAGGGGAAGAAAAUGAAGAAAUAAAGAAAGAGAGAAAAAAGAAAGAAAAAAUUUGUUAGAGAGAAUAAAUAGAGUUCUAAACCUCACUCAAUACAGAAUUAGUGUAAACAAGUAACAAAUUUCAAAUUUGGUGCUAGCUGGAUACUUCUGUGAUGCUUCUUGAAAGGGCGAGAAGGUAGUAAGUGUACUUUCAGUUUCUAUCAAAGAAGUUUAAUAGCUGCAGGUUAAUGCAGUGGAGUUGACAGUAGAAAGUCUCAGGAGUAAAUCCAAUAAAUGCAUUUAAAAUCAACUUCCUCUUCAUAUCACUGAUUUGAGCCAUCUUUUGUCAGGAAACCAUGAUUCCCUAAGGGGAUGGCACAAAUAAAAUUUCCUAUUUAUUGGCAUGAACUUUCAUGCAAAAUCCUAACAAGAGUAUACAAAAAAGGAAGAAAAUAGAUAGCAUUCUCGCAUUAGUAGUCAAAACAAGCUAGGAAGUAAUCAAUCUUUUUAUCUUUUAGGAACAUGAAGGAAAUCUCUAAAAACAAUUUACUUCCCAUUUUUACUAAUAAUGGACACAACAACAAGUAUUUUUACUAAUCAUGUUUUAUAUGUGAAGAGAAUAAAGGAAGAAGUUUAUGUGAAAAGAGGAGAUUCCUCUGAUUUUCCUUUUUAUUUCAUAGGCACAAAUGUGCCAUUAUAUAGGCCAUUGGCCAAGACAAAAACGGUUAAAAAAGUGCUAACAAAAGGAUAAAAAAUUAGUUGAAAGAAUACCCAACUGUUCUACAAUAUCAGUUGUUCUAACAACUAGAGAAAAGACUAAAUUAUCCCUAGUAUAAGUAUACAUAUAUAUAUACAUUUCUACAUAUGUACAUUCUACACUCCCCCUCAAUUUAGGUUACGUAAAUGUUAAGUAACCCUAAAUUGGAUACAAGAUAAUUGAAUUCUCUUUUUGGUAGAGCUUUAGUAAGUAUUUCUGCAGUUUGUUGACUUGUCGGGAUGUAUAAUAGUGAUACAUCAUGAUUUUUAAUUUUCUUUCUAAUGAAGUGACGAUCAAUCUCAACAUAUUUAGUUCUGUCAUGGUGCACAGGAUUCUUCCCCAUGCUAAUAGUUGAUUGAUUGUCACACCAGAUCUGCAUUGCAGUGUAAGCAAAAAAUAUUAGUUCAAGUAAAAUCUUUUUAAGUCAUACUCUUUCACAUAUACCAUACGCAAGUGAUUAUAAUUCAGAUUCAGCGCUGCUCCUUGAUACAAUAGAUUGUUUCUUGCUGCGCCAAGUGACUAAAUUACCUCAAACAUAAGAGCAAUAAUCAGAUGUCGAUCUCCUAUCUGUCACAGAUUCAGCCCAAUCAGCAUCGGUGUAGAUCUCAAUAUCUCUAAACAUAGUUUUCUAAAAGAAUAAUCCCCAUCCAGGUGUCAUCUUUAGAAACCUCAGAAUACGAUACACAGCACUUAUGUGUUUUUCAGUAGGUUGAGACAUGAACUGACUCACAGUGCUAAUAGCGAAACUGAUGUCAGGUCUUGUGUGAGCCAAGUAGAUAAGUUUGCUUACAAAUCUUUGAUACCUUUCUUUAUCAACAAGUUUACUGUCACUUUUCGAACCAAAUUUAGUAUUUGUUUCCAUAGGAGUCUCUGCAGGUUUACAACCAAGUAUGCCUGUCUCAUCCAGGAGAUCUAAGAUGUACUUCCGCUGAGAUAUAGAAAUUUUCUUCUUGGAUCUAGCAACUUCUAUUCCAAAAAAAUACUUGAGUAUCCCAAGGUCUUUGAUUUCAAAUUCUUUAUCUAGAAAGUCUUUCAAUUUCUGAAUUUCUUCACUAUGAUCACCUGUUAGUAUAAUAUCAUCCACAUAAACAAUUAGUAUAACUCUGCUUCCUGUGGUACAAUGCUUGACAAACAGAGUGUGAGCGGACUGAAAUUGUUCAUAUCCCAUAUGUUUCAGUUCCCUGGUGAAUCUAUCAAACCAUGCUCUUGAAGACUGUUUGAGACCAUACAAUGCAUUUUUUAGUUUGUACACCUUUUGGGGAUUCAUUUCGAGUCCAGGUGGGACUUCCAUAUAUACUUUUUCCUCUAGAUCACUAAUAAAGAAAACAUUUUUCACAUCAAAUUGAUAGAGAGACCAAUCAAGAUUAGACGUUAAAGAGAAUAAUACCCGAAUUGUGUUGUGCUUGGCAACAUGAGAAAAUGUCUCUUGAUAGUCGAUUACAUAUGAUUGGGUAAACCCUGUAGUAACAAGACGUGUUUUGUAGCAGCUUACACUACCAUCAGGAUUGUACUUAGUGGUGAAGAUCCACUUGCAUCCUACAGGAGCCUUCCCUAGAAGUAGAUCAGAUAACUCCCAUGUCCCAUUUUUCUCAAGGGCUGAAAUUUCUUCUUGGAUAGCAGCAUUCCAUGUAGAAAUAUUGAGAGCUUUAUGAACUGUUCUUGGUUCAAGAAGAGUACUGUCAAACUUACUCACAAGUACAUGGUACUUUGAAGACAGCUUGGCAUAAGAGACAUAAUCCUAUAUGGGAUGCAUAGUACAAGAACGACCACCCUUUCGUAACUCAAUAGGUAAAUCAAUAUCAUCAGUUGAGUUAGAGAUCUCAUUACCUGUGUUAUUCUAAGUGCUUGGUCUAGAAAUUGAGUCAGAACAGUGUAUAGUUGGCUUAGGUACUUUAUCUUUACCUUGAGUUUUGGUCCUCCUGAUAUAGAUAGGUAACUUACUAAGUACAGGUAAUGUGCUAUUAGUGUCUGUAGUAGGUUCAGGUUCUUUGGUAGUUUUAUGGAUAGGUUCUUUUUCUAGAAUUGUCAAUGGAGUUUGUAGUAGAGGUAUGUUCACAUCCCACAAUUGAUAUUUCUAAGUUCCAGAUGUCUCCCCCUGAAUAUCAAGAGUGGGAUAAAAUAGUCGGUUUUCAAAGAAAGUGAUAUCCAUAGUGUUAUAGAACUAGCUGGUUACUGAACAAAAGCAUUUGUAACCUUUUUUAGAAGUACAAUACCUGACAAACACACAUUUGAGGGCUCCAAAAUCGAGUUUUUCUCUAAGAUUACUGUGAAUGUGAAUAUAGGCAGAACAGCUAAAGAUUUUAAACGGAAUUGUGUGAAGGAUGUGUGAUGUUGGGAAGGCUUGAACGAGGGACUUAUAAGGUGUUUUGAACUGAAGUAUACGAGAGAGCAUCCGAUUGAUCAGAUAUGUAGCAGUGAGGAUAGCAUCCCCGUAAAGGAAUUUAGUGACAUUUGUGGUAAAUAUAAGUGAGCGGGAUACUUUAAGUAUGUGCCUAUUUUUUCUUUCGACUACACCAUUCUGUUGAGGGAGUGUAAGGACAAGAACUUUGAUGGACAAUGCCUUGUUCAGUAAGAAAUUUGCCUAGGUUGGAUGCAAAAUAUUCACAUGCAUUGUCAGUUUUCAAAACUUAUAUUUUUAUCUGAAAUUAUGUUUGAAUCAUAGUAUUGAAUUUGUGAAAAAUUUGACCAACCUCAAAUUUUUCUUUCAUCAGAUAGAUUCAGGUUACUCUAAUGUGAUCAUCAAUAAAAGAGACAAAUCAUUUUGUGCCAAUAACAUUUUUAACCUGUGCCGGUCCCCAAACAUCACUAUGAAUUAAUGUAAAGAGUUUUGAGGGUUUGUAAGAAAUACUGGGAUAUGUUUUACGGGUGUGUUUAGAGAAUUGAUAUAUUUCACAUUAAAAUAAAUUUGAAUUUUUAUUUUUGAAUAAAGUAGGAAAUAGUUUAAAGUAUAUGAACUUUGGAUAUUUUAAUCUAUAAUGCUAUAACAUAAUAGAUUGGUCAACAUUAGAACAUCCUACAAAUACUAAGUUGGCACAUACUGCACUUGAAGUUUACCCAUUCGGAGGUGAGAUUGUGACUGGUAGAAGAUAAAGUUCUGAUUCCUUUUUAACACUACUAAUCGUCGUUCCCGUGGUAAAGUCCUAAAAUACACAUGAACUACUGUCAAAUUUAACAACAUAGUUCAAGUCGUUACAUAAUUUGCUUACAGAUAGCAGAUUACAGUCUAGAUUAGGUACAUAAAAAACGGAUUGCAAUAUCAAAUAUGGUAAUAUAACGGUUGAGCCAACCCCUGCUACUUUAGAACUGGUUCCAUCGACAAUCUUGAUAGAGAAAAUUUCCUUACAUUUACUAUACUGAUGAAGAAGUGUGAUAUCUCUAGUCAUAUGUUCGGAUGCCCCUGAAUCAAUAAUCCGUAUUUGCUUUUUCACAGAGUAAACAGAUAAACUGAGUAACUACCUCUCUGAGCAACGGAUGCAUUACUGAGAAUAUCCUUAUGAGAAAACAUUUGCAGGAGAGCUUCCAUCUGAACUGGAUUGAAAGGAGAGCUCUCGAUAGGUGUGGGUGUAGGGGAUGAUUCUUCUAAAAUUACCAUAUUGCCCUGAGCGUCAUUUUUGUAAUUCUUCUUAUCUGCUGAUUUAUUAUGUAAUUUCCAGCAAUUAUCCCUAAUGCAACCUGGUUUUUUGCAAUAGUCACACCAGGGCCUCCCUUUGCUUCUUCCUGUUUCAGAAACACGCCCGACGAGGGCAGAGGCCCGCUCGGGUUUUAGUGUAGCAAGCUGGGAUUCACUCGGCAGCGACUUCCUCUGAGCAGCAAGGGCAAAGCUCGUCUCCAUCGAGUUUGGUAGCAGUUUGGUACCCAGAACGCGACCACGAAUUUCAACUAAAUUUUUGUUGAGACCCAUCAAGAAUUUGAAGAUCCUUUUUCGUUCGGUGAGAGUUUUGAAGAGUUUGGAGUCCUCGGGCUGCUGCCAGUUCCGAGUGAGUACGUUGUAAUAUUGAGUCAUGGUGAGCUCCCUCUGUCGCAGGUCGUGCAGGUGAGUCUUGAUUUUGAAGAUGACUGAGGUAUUGUCUCGGCUAGAGUAGAACUCGUGCGUGGCCACCCAGAUGUCAUGCGCAGUUUCAUAUAGUAAGAAGUUUUCUCCAAUCUCUGUUGUCAUUGAGUUGACUAACCAAGACAUUAAAAGGUUAUUUUCGACCUUCCACGAACGGGCUCCUGGAUCAUCUGCUGAUGGUUGAACGACUUCUCCCGUAAGAUAUUCAUCUCUACCCUUUCCUCGAAUGAAUAUGAGGACGGAUGAUGACCAUUGGAAAUAAUUACUCCCAUUCAGCUUGUGUCCAGUGACAAAUGAGGGUGUUUGGUUGACGUGAGAUUGGGUGAUGGACAUUGGAUUAUAAGAACUUGAGAAAAUGUCAAGGAGAGAGGAGUUUUUCUCAUCCAUUGCCAUUUUGGCUUGAGUUGGAUGGUGAAUGAUUCUGAAUCAGAGUUGCUGCUCUGAUACCAUGAAGAGAAUAAAAGAAGAAGUUUCUAUGAAAAGAGGAGAAUUCCUCUGAUUUUUUUUUUUAUUUCAAUGGCACAAAUGUGCCAUCAUAUAGGCCUUCGGCCAAGAAAAAAACAAUUAAAAAUGUGCUAACAAAAGGUUAAAAAAUUAGUGGAGAGAAUACCCAGCUGUUCUAAUAAUAUUAGCUGUCCUAACAACUUGAGAAAAGACUAAGUUAUCCCUAGUGUAAAUAUACAUGUAUAUAUAUAUAUUCCUACAUGUACAUUCUACAAUAUGCAUAAGGUUACUACAAUACAACUAAACUGAUCAACAGAUCCCAAUACAAUCAUACAGAUAUUAUACUAUUUUCCAUUUGAGAAACAACAAUUUACUCUCAAUUUUCAGCUGUAUCAUAGUUUAUUGAAAGAGAUGGAAAUCUUUAACAAAUGAGCAUAGCAAGAAAAGAAAAACAAAGAAAUGAAGUGAAGCACACUCUAGUGUUUGAGAUCAUUAUCCUUCAUAUUGGUACUAUUUCUUCCAAUAAUAUAUUCUAAGCUUAAAUGUUCAACCAAUAAGUGGCUAACCUUAUAUGAAAUGGGAAUGACUCUUAUUCUGUCAUAGUAUAAGCUUCAGUCCUAACAACUUACUCACUUUUUUGUUAUGUUUGGAAAAAGAAGAGGAAUGGAAAUUAGAAUGUAAAAUUUUCACUUUACCUCCCUUUUUCUUAUUUCAAACAUAUUAAACAAAAACUAAAGAAAUCAAAAAAUCUAGCAAUCAAAUUAAUCCUUCUCGUGAACCCUCUGAUGCUGGUAAACCACCUUAAAUACCUUCUUGUGGAUACAAAGUGUUAAAUAUAAUAUUUUAUUAUUUUAUUAUUUAAUUAGUUUAUUAAUUAGUUAAGUUGAUGUAAUUAGAGUUCUAUUAAACUAGUAAUCUCAUGUAAUUAGAAUUUUAGUAAAAUAAAAAAUUACUUAUCAAUAUGUUAGGAAUUAUACAAAUACUUUAAAUAUAACAAUCUAAAAGAAGAUAAAUAAAAUUACUAUUUUUUUAUCUAAAAAUUAACUUAGUAUCAGAGCCAAAUCUAUUUUAAGAUUUUAGUUUUAAUCUUAGAAUUUUUUUCAAACCCUAAAAAAACAUAAUAGACUAGGUUGAUAUCCACUAUCAAGAUCUACUAUCACCAUCCCACGGUGUUGUAGACUCACCAGCGGCCUUCACCCAAUUCUAUCAGCUACCAGCAACAGAGAAGCUUUAUUGCACGCACCGCCGCCUUGUGUCACCGGAAGUAAUGCUUGAACACACUAGAGCAGACAAAAAAUGCAGGAGACCUGGUUGAGGCCCUCUUGCGCGAAGAUCUGGGCUCCUUUCGCGCCCUUUGUGCACUGGCCGUUUCUAGAUUAUGCAAGACCCUGCGUCGUCUCCGGUUUGUACGAUCUCUUGUCUCUUGGCUUUUUGAUUUCGCGCGGGCGGUAUUCAGCUUCAUAGAUUUGGUGUCUCUGUCCCAGCCGCACCGCUGUGCACUUCCUCGCGCAGCCGUGGACAACCACGACUUCUCUGGUUUUCUUCAAGUUGCCGCUACUGACCGAUACACAUGGGAUCUGUGCGAUUCGUCCUUUCUGCGCACAAGCCGUUCCAUUCUAGUUGCAGACGUCGUCAGUCUCCGCACGCUUUCGAGCCGAGUCGACUCCGAGCCGAUCCCCAGCGCGGCCACCCAGAUCUCCACCCUUUCCUCGAAUGAACAUUUUGAGCCAAUCUCGAGCUUUUUCUGAGCCGAUCUCAAGCCGUUUUUCAGCCGACUUUGAACCCUUUUUUAGCCAAAUUCGAGCCAUUUUUAGUCGAGUUCAACCUUUUUUAGCUGAGUUCGAGUUGUUUUAAGAUGAGUUCGAGCUGUUUUGAGCUGACUCGAGCCAUUUUGAGCCGAAUCAAGCUGUUUCUCAAUCGAGUCGAGCCACUUUUAACCGAACNNNN